AACGAACGCUGGCGGCAUGCCUAACACAUGCAAGUCGAACGAGACCUUCGGGUCUAGUGGCGCACGGGUGCGUAACGCGUGGGAACCUGCCCUUAGGUUCGGAAUAACUCCCCGAAAGGGGUGCUAAUACCGGAUAAUGUCUUCGGACCAAAGAUUUAUCGCCUUUGGAUGGGCCCGCGUUGGAUUAGCUAGUUGGUAGGGUAAAAGCCUACCAAGGCGACGAUCCAUAGCUGGUCUGAGAGGAUGAUCAGCCACACUGGGACUGAGACACGGCCCAGAAUCCUACGGGAGGCAGCAGUGGGGAAUAUUGGACAAUGGGCGAAAGCCUGAUCCAGCAAUGACGCGUGAGUGAUGAAGGCCUUAGGGUUGUAAAGCUCUUUUACCCGGGAUGAUAAUGACAGUACCGGGAGAAUAAGCUCCGGCUAACUCCGUG
rnacentral:rRNA from 1 species